AACAAGGAUUCCCCUAGUAACUGCGAGUGAAGCGGGAAGAGCUCAAAUUUUGAAUCUGGCAGUCCUUGGCUGUCCGAGUUGUAAUCUAGAGAAGUGUUUUCCGCGCUGGACCGUGUAUAAGUCUCCUGGAAGGGAGCGUCGUAGAGGGUGAGAAUCCCGUCUUUGACACGGACCACCAGUGCUAUGUGAUGCGCUCUCGACGAGUCGAGUUGUUUGGGAAUGCAGCUCAAAUUGGGUGGUAAACUCCAUCUAAAGCUAAAUACAGGCGAGAGACCGAUAGCGAACAAGUACCGUGAGGGAAAGAUGAAAAGAACUUUGGAAAGAGAGUUAAACAGUACGUGAAAUUGCUGAAAGGGAAACGCUUGAUGUCAGUCGCGUCGGCCGGGGAUCAACCUUGCUUCUCGCUCGGUGUAUUUCCUGGUCGANGGGUCAGCAUCAGUUUCGGUCGCCGUACAAGGGCGAGGGGAACGUGGCACUCCUCGGAGUGUGUUAUAGCCUUUCGUCGCAUGCGGUGGUCGGGACUGAGGAGCUCAGCACGGCCUCGGCUUGUGCUCAGGAUGCUGGCAUAAUGGCCUUAAGCGACCCGUCUUGAAACACGGACCAAGGAGUCUAACAUGCCUGCGAGUGUUUGGGUGGUAAACCCGAGCGCGUAAUGAAAGUGAAAGUUGAGACCUCUGUCGUGGAGGGCAUCGACGCCCGGACCUGAGUCUUUGACGACGGAUCUGCGGUAGAGCAUGCAUGUUGGGACCCGAAAGAUGGUGAACUAUGCCUGAAUAGGGUGAAGCCAGAGGAAACUCUGGUGGAGG
rnacentral:rRNA from 1 species